GACGAACGCUGGCGGUGUGCUUAACACAUGCAAGUCGAACGGUAAGGCCCUUUCGGGGGUACACGAGUGGCGAACGGGUGAGUAACACGUGAGUAACCUGCCCUCAUCUCUGGGAUAACAGUCGGAAACGGUUGCUAAUACUGGAUAUGAGCUUGCAAGGCAUCUUGUGGGUUGGAAAGAUUUUUUUGGUUGGGGAUGGACUCGCGGCCUAUCAGCUUGUUGGUGAGGUAGUGGCUCACCAAGGCUUCGACGGGUAGCCGGCCUGAGAGGGGGACCGGCCAAAUUGGGACUGAGAUAGGGCCCAAACUCCUAGGGGAGGCAGCAGUGGGGAAUAUUGCAAAAUGGGCGGAAGUCUGAUGCAGCAACGCCGCGUGCGGGAUGACGGCCUUCGGGUGGUAAACCGCUUUCAAUUGUGACGAAGCUUUUUGGAAGGGAAGGAGUAAAAAAAGAACGGGUAAAUAAGGG
rnacentral:rRNA from 1 species